UUCCAAAGGACCAUGAUAAUUCAAGAUCUACGGUUUGGUGUGGUCUGUUAAGGCUGAACGGACAUCAGGUUAGAGAAAACACAUCCAGAGUGAUCUCCUCACAUUUGCUGGCUGACUUUCAUGACUCUGCUAACAGGCUUUACCCAGGUUGGAUGGCUGAAGGAUAUUAGACUGUGAUUUUCCAGACCAAGAAUUCUACAAUGGAGGAAGUCAGGGGUUCAUCUUCAUAUCUGCAUCACUGAAAGGAAUAAAAGACAUUCACUCCAUUGUAAUAUCCACCUACGACUCACCUCUUCUUUGUGUGUGCAUAGACACAGCAAGAGAGAGAGA